rnacentral:rRNA from 1 species
ACACGUAGGGGGCGAGCGUUGUCCGGAAUUACUGGGCGUAAAGGGUGCGUAGGCGGCCUUAUAAGUCAUGUGUGAAAAACCCGGGCUCAACCCGGGUAUUGCAAGUGAAACUAUAGGGCUUGAGUGCAGGAGAGGGAAGUGGAAUUCCUAGUGUAGCGGUGAAAUGCGUAGAGAUUAGGAGGAACACCAGUGGCGAAGGCGGCUUCCUGGACUGCAACUGACGCUGAGGCACGAAAGCGUGGGGAGCAAACAGGAUUAGAUACCCUGGUAGUCCACGCCGUAAACGCUGGAUACUAGGUGUAGGUACCGAUGAGGUAUCUGUGCCGUAGUUAACGCAAUAAGUAUCCCGCCUGGGGAGUACGGCCGCAAGGCUGAA